AUUGAACGCUGGCGGCAGGCCUAACACAUGCAAGUCGAGCGGAGCAGCGGACGGGUGAGUAAUGCCUAGGAAUCUGCAUGGUAGUGGGGGAUAACGUCCGGAAACGGGCGCUAAUACCGAAUAAUAUCAGAUGAGCCUAGGUGGGAUUAGCUAGUUGGAGGGGUAAAGGCCUACCAAGGCGACGAUCCGUAACUGGUCUGAGAGGAUGAUCAGUCACACUGGAACUGAGACAGGUGCCAGACUCCUACGGGAGGCAGCGGUGGGGAAUAUUGGACAAUGGGCGAAAGCCUUAUCCAGCCAUGCCGCGUGUGUGAAGAAGGUCUUCGGAUUGUAAAGCACUUUAAGUUGGGAGGCGUUACCAACAGAAUAAGCACCGGCUAACUUCGUGCCAGCAGCCGCGGUAAUAC
rnacentral:rRNA from 1 species